rnacentral:rRNA from 1 species
CACACCGCCCGUCACCACCAUGGAAGUUGGUUCUACCUUAAGCAGCUGCGCUAACCGCAAGGAGGCAGGCUACCACGGUAGGGUCAAGUGACGUGGGGUG